rnacentral:rRNA from 1 species
UAGGGAAUCUUCGGCAAUGGACGGAAGUUUGACCGAGCAACGCUGCGUGAGUGAAGAAGGUUUUCGGAUCGUAAAGCUCUGUUGUAAGAGAAGAACGAGUGUGAGAGUGGAAAGUUCACACUGUGACGGUAUCUUACCAGAAAGGGACGGCUAACUACGUGCCAGCAGCCGCGGUAAUACGUAGGUCCCGAGCGUUGUCCGGAUUUAUUGGGCGUAAAGCGAGCGCAGGCGGUUAGAUAAGUCUGAAGUUAAAGGCUGUGGCUUAACCAUAGUACGCUUUGGAAACUGUUUAACUUGAGUGCAAGAGGGGAGAGUGGAAUUCCAUGUGUAGCGGUGAAAUGCGUAGAUAUAUGGAGGAACACCGGUGGCGAAAGCGGCUCUCUGGCUUGUAACUGACGCUGAGGCUCGAAAGCGUGGGGAGCAAACAGGAUUAGAUACCCUGGUAGUCCACGCCGUAAACGAUGAGUGCUAGGUGUUAGACCCUUUCCGGGGUUUAGUGCCGCAGCUAACGCAUUAAGCACUCCGCCUGGGGAGUACGACCGCGAAGGUUG